UUAAGUUCAGCGGGUAUCCCUACCUGAUCCGAGGUCAAAAUAAAAAGUAAGCUUAUGGAUGCCAUCUCCCACUGCUAGAGGACGCAAAUCUGCUGCGCUCAAAGCCGCUGGAGUGGCUGCCAAUCCUUUUGAGGCGAGUCCCUAAGGACAGACGCCCAACACCAAGCUGUGCUUGAAGGUGAAAAUGACGCUCGAACAGG
rnacentral:misc_RNA from 1 species